ACAUGCCCUGUGUUGACACUUGUGUGUACACGUUUGUGUUAUCGAUAUGUAUAUAAUUUAAUGUCGUUAACUUUGUAAAUAUAAUAUCUACACGUGGUGUAUUUAGAUCCGGAUGGAAAAUGAUCGAAAAGUCAUGAUUAGGUUAAGGAAUUCGCGGACCAUGUCAGAAAGCGAACAGAUCCAAAAUGGGAAACGGAAUAUGUUGUUAGCAGCGGGCUUCUUGGUCGCGGCGGAAGUGUUCGGCGUAUGUCUACAGGAAGUUCAUGCGCAUGCAAAAGAGUUACAGCCUCUUCACCGCCAUUUUGAAUUGCCAAUCAUCCUUACAGCGGUCGAUACGAUCUCGUUAUUCGUGCUACUCAAGUUUGAAUCUCUCCAAGGUCUACGAAAGCACGCAGAGGGUCUGAUAGUGACUUUCCUGUGCCAUAUUGUGUUAGAAUAUCUGUUUAAUUUCUGGUAUAUAUACUCAAGAAAUGACUCGUUUGCUGUAGGAUAUUUCGAACCUGUGAUAUUAGUGACGUUGCUGAAAUGGUGUACCAGAAAUGACGUAAUAUCAAAAUGUUCGCUAUUUUGGUUUCAAUGGCAUUCUGCGCAGGAAUAACCUCCGGUGAAACGCAUAUUUUACUUAACGCAAAUAGAAAUGGAAUUAUAAUAUUUUUAGUUAUUUUCUUUAUUUGUCUGCGCAAUAUAGGACUGUAUUAUCUCCACAACGAGGGACUUGUUUUACGAUUCCGGAAAUCCAUUGCAGUACCAUACAGUUUUACAGUGCUCUCCGUCGGCGUAAUAAUGUCGGCGUUCCAUCUCACUUACUGGGCUCUUCCGGUGAUGUUUGCUCUCAUAGCUAUGUUUGCUUCAGUUACAAUGCUUUACAUGACUUCAGCGCUGUUGGAAAACUACUCUUUAGUUUCAUCUAUCCGUCUUUGGACUAGUGUCUCAAAUUUUGGUAAAUGUCGUCUGCAUCUCAGUGGAGCACGGACAUAACGUACUGAUCUCAAUAAUUGGGACUUUCCUUUUGGCUAUUACCAUAGGACUUUACAUCCGAGCUACUUACACAAAUAUCCCAGAAACAGUUCCGUCUCAAGUUCCUAACCACGAGGUGUACACGCGACUAGAGUUCCUGAUAUUUACUGGCCUUGUCUGCGGUCUCAUAUUUUAUGUGUUCAAGCCGAAAAUCAGCGACAGGGAUCUGAAUAAUCUUCAUUAUGUUGGUUUGGACAAUAUUGUUAAACGAUUGAUUAACCACGAGUAAAACGUGCUAGUUUAUUGAUUAAUCACCAGGCAAUCAUGCUAAUAGUUAAAUGUUUUUGCUGGGUUUUGAGAUGGACUCUUUUUUUCCAUGUUGGACAGCGUAUAUAUGAGUCUUCACGUUAAAAGGACCAUCAAAUUUAAAACUGCAUUUUAACAAGCCAUGACAGCUGUGAACUUAAAACCAUGACAUUAUCUGUUCAGUGAACUAUAAUUAUUCUGCAUUGCUAUGCUAUAUUUUGAACUUAUUUUUCACUGUUACGUCAUAUUUUUGAAAUCAUAACGUUACUCGCAGUAUUUACUUGUUGACUUUUUUUUUGAAGUUUUGAGAAAUCAUGGUUUAACAAAAUUACACAAUGUAGGAAAAAUUAUCUGAACGAGUUGAAGUCAAUGUCGAACUUUCAUUGAAGAGUCCAACUUAAGUGUUAAUGCCCUCGUAUGUAUAAUUAUUGUCUAGAACUCAUACAGUUUUUAGUACAUUUACUAACGAAUAGAAGUUUUCUUUUGUAGAAAUAUGUACAUUUAAACCUAAGCGCGACAUAUUGUGAAGUACCUACUGUUAUUAAGAUAUUUAUUAAAUACAUUCAUAAUUAUGUUUACAUUUUAUUAUAUACUAUUUGAGGGAUCUUAGAUCUGUUUAUAGCAUUAAGCGGUUUUAUGUGCUGUUACAGUGGUUUUAUAUGAUAUUGGUAUUGAAAUUGUUAACACUUAGAGAUAUUGAGUGUACCUAAUAAAUUUUGAAUGAAAUAUUUA
rnacentral:lncRNA from 1 species